AAAUGCGAUAAGUAAUGUGAAUUGCAGAAUUCAGUGAAUCAUCGAAUCUUUGAACGCACAUUGCGCCCCCUGGUAUUCCGGGGGGCAUGCCUGUUCGAGCGUCAUUUCACCACUCAAGCCUCGCUUGGUAUUGGGCAACGCGGUCCGCCGCGUGCCUCAAAUCGACCGGCUGGGUCUUCUGUCCCCUAAGCGUUGUGGAAACUAUUCGCUAAAGGGUGCUCGGGAGGCUACGCCGUAAAACAACCCCAUUUCUAAGGUUGACCUCGGAUCAGGUAGGGAUACCCGCUGAACUUAAGC
rnacentral:misc_RNA from 1 species